UAAUGGGAACUGGUUCUUCAGUGUGCCUCUAGAAAGGCAUUUAUUUGCCUCUGCCAGUUGAGUGGGAGGUCAGAUCACUUUCUUAAAGAAAUAGCAGCUUUUCUAAUAGGUUGAGGUGUUCUGAGGCCCUUUGAAGUGAAGAACUUGCCACUUAAUGUUCAGGCCAAGGCUGCAUGGCAUACAUGUUACAGGUAUUUUUGCAGACUAUUCUGUAGCCAGCUAGGAACCCAGAGGUAACACUGAACCUCUCCAGUGGGAGAGAGUCUGUGAAUCUUGAUUCUGUACCUCUGAAAUAGGUGCGAGUUGACAGACAGCAACCAGUCUUCAGAUUAAAUAUGGUUUGGACAGAUAGCGUGCACAAGGCAAUUCUGUAGGUACUGCAUUUCCUGGUGAAGCAGAAGUAAGAAUCUGUUUAGAUGGCACUCCUGUGGAUGCCUCCUUCUCUUCUUUCCUUGCUAUUUCCUUCAUCCCUCUGCAUUUAGUAUAAAGCAAAAAGUAGCAAAAGAGAAAAAUAAAUGUAUAAGAGAUAGCUUUGUCCUUAAUAAAUAAAGAGGUGUGGGAGAAGAGACAUGGGGACCUGAAGGUGUGGCAAGCAAAUGUUGGGAGCAUGGCAAGGAUUGCUUUCCAAAAGAAGUUGUGAUCUAGAAGUGUGAUCUAAUCUAAUAAAUUGAAUUUUUAAAUAGCCCACAUUCUUACCUAAUUUGUAUUGUACUGUCACUGUUUCACUGGAUAAGAAAAACAGAAGAACUUUUUGAAGGAAACCUUCUAGUAACUAGCAGAAAAAGUUGAUUUGUCUAAAAGCAGAAACAAAAAUCUUGGGAGUGUUUUUUCACUGUAACUC